CCGACGGGAGGGCUGGACCUGAUGAUGCGACCGGGCCACCGGCUAGCCCCCGGCGGCGGCGGUCGGGAGUUCGGCGGUCUCGCCUCUUCUUCCCUCCGAUCCUUCUCCUCUCUUCUCCGCCUCCUCCACGGCCGCCUAACCCAUUAAAAUUGCUUUUUCCCCUCUCAAUUCGUUUUGCUUCGCAGUUAGAAGAAACGCGCCCAAAAAGCGCAUCCAAGAGAUAGAAAAAUCCUCGUCCAAUUCCGUUCGAGACUAUGGAGCUUGGUCAUGUGGGUUCAUGCACCUCUUCCUCCACUCACAGCCUAAGGGUAAGAGCAAAGGUGUUUAUCAUCAGUAGAGUCAAGCAAUCUCGUGGAAGGAUUCUGGCACGGGAGCUGCAGUAUCAUGCUUCCCUUCAAUCUGAACAAAUCUUUCUCGUUUCCCAUGUUUGCCUCACAGUCAAGUUGGUGAGGUUUGCUGCAAGGACCUGGAAAGAGAACCACCAUCUGGAGAAGAAAGCCAAUUAAGCUGCCAAGGGAUUGCAAUCUGAUAAUUUGCUGUAGCAAGCAUUGGGCCUAUUUUUCAGGAGAGCGGUGUGGGAAAAAGCAAAGAUUAUUGCACUCCAACCCUCAUAUAAUGACAAGUGUAAUAUUUGUCAUUCUUAAUUCAAGUUUCAAUUUAUGAGAUGCUAACAUUCCUAAUAAUCCUUGCUUCGUUUUGUAUGGAAACAUUGUGUCUGAAAUAUAUUUUGUACUAUAUUUAAUGGGUUAAUGUGUGAGAUUCCAUGGAUCA